rnacentral:lncRNA from 1 species
AAGAACUUAUUCCUGACCUGUUUCUGUUUCAAAUGCUACUUUGAAUCGGUUAGAAUCAACCCAAUGCUGACUUAGUAGCGAUAAACUAAUUAUUAUUCAAAAAUAAAGGAAUUUACAUUGCAUCAUGUAAAACUUCAUCAAAAUACUAAAUCAUCCAAUUAGCAAUGAGUGAAUCUAAUCUGGGACUUGUACUGUUCAGGUACUGAUGGAGCAAUGUGACUGAACAUGAACACUGCAGCCUUUGUCUCCAACCCCUCCAUAUGAGUGCUAAGCAUAAGGCAUCACCGGCCACAUGGGAUUAAGAAACACACAAGAAGCAGGUUAAUGCAUGAAUAAACCCAUUUGCAGCAGGUCAUACAGUAUUCAAUUGUGCCAAAGUACAAUCUGCUGAGGUGAUUAAAAAGUGGACAAAGCCUUGGUUUCUGCAAGAAGGAAUCAAAAGAUUGUUAUUUAAUUCCAGUAAGCCAUAUCUCAGCAUGAUAGAUCAUUUUUGCAGUACCCACUAUGCUUUGGUAAGAUCUGAUUUACAUCCAAGAAGCUCCACUAUUAUUAUAUUCUUAUCUUCUGUAAGCAACAGUCUUAGCCCACAUUUAGUGUGCUUUGAAUAAUAUCAUUCUUCUCUUUAUUCCCCGGA